UAUUAUAUUAUAUUAUAUUAUAUUAUAUUAUAUUAUAUUAUAUUAUAUACACUAUUUUAUUUUUUCACCCACGUUCCUCUUAUCAGCUCUUAUCCAAUCACAUCCCAUUCUGCUUACAACCAAUCAGAAUUCAACAGACCUACUCUGGUUCUAUAAAGUCCCAUUUUUUCCAAGAGACCUUAGGUUUUAACACUUCAAGAGAACAGUAACUUGCCUGAAUCUUCCUUAUUUUAUCCUGAGGCUUCUUCUAAGAUGGAUAUUCCUGGAUAUGCCAAGAGGUUCCUGGACAAGAAUGGCAUUCCCAGUCAUGGGUUUAUUUUGGAUGCUGUUGUUGCUUACACUGAAUUCUUGCAGGACAAAGGCAGGCUCCCCCCCCACUCUACUACCAAGAUGGUCGAUGCGUCUGCUCAGACCCCUGUCCGUGUUCCUCCUCGAACCUCUUCCAAGAGCACUCAAUGUUCUGAGUGGUCUUUGUAUGAGGAUUAUUAAAGUAAAUGUUCAUCCUAAACCUUA